rnacentral:rRNA from 1 species
AGAGUUUGAUCAUGGCUCAGAGUUAACGCUGGCGGCGUGCCUAACACAUGCAAGUCGAGCGAAUUUUUACAGAGUAUCGUAAAAGUUAGCGGCAAACGGGUGAGUAACACAUGGGAAACCUCCCUCAGAAUGGGGAACAUCUCCGAGAAAUCGGAGCUAAUACCGCAUAAGACCACAGUUCGGCAUCGAACAGGGGUAAAAGCAGCAAUGCGUUUUGAGAUGGUCCUGUGUCCUAUCAGCUAGUUGGUGGGGUAACGGCCUACCAAGGCUAUGACGGGUAUCCGGCCUGAAAGGGUGAACGGACACACUGGAACUGAGACACGGUCCAGACUCCUACGGGAGGCAGCAGUGGGGAAUUUUGGACAAUGGGCGCAAGCCUGAUCCAGCGACGCCGCGUGGAGGACGAAGGCCUUCGGGUUGUAAACUCCUUUUGGAGGGGAAGAAUAAAUUGACGGUACCCUCAGAAAAAGCCACGGCUAACUACGUGCCAGCAGCCGCGGUAAUACGUAGGUGGCGAGCGUUACUCGGAAUUACUAGGCGUAAAGCGUAUGUAGGUGGUUAGAUAAGUCUAUGGUGAAAUUUCCUGGCUUAACUGGGAAGGGACAUAGAUACUAUUUGGCUUGAGUGUGGGAGGGGGAGACGGAAUUCCUGGUGUAGCGGUGAAAUGCGUAGAUAUCAGGAGGAACACCGAUGGCGAAAGCAGUCUCCUGGCCCAAUACUGACACUGAGGUACGAAAGCUAGGGUAGCAAACAGGAUUAGAUACCCUGGUAGUCCUAGCUGUAAACGAUGUUCACUAGAUGUGGGAGGUAUCGACCCCUUCCGCGUCGACGCUAACGCAUUAAGUGAACCGCCUGGGGAGUACGGCCGCAAGGUUGAAACUCAAAUGAAUUGACGG